UACGUAGGGUGCGAGCGUUGUCCGGAAUCAUUGGGCGUAAAGGGCGCGUAGGUGGCCCGGUCAGUUCGUGGUGAAAGCGCGGGGCUCAACCCUGCGUCGGCCAUGAAUACUGCCGCGGCUGGAGCACUGUAGAGGCAGGCGGAAUUCCGGGGUGUAGCGGUGGAAUGCGUAGAGAUCCGGAAGAACACCGGUGGCGAAGGCGGCCUGCUGGGCAGU
rnacentral:rRNA from 1 species